CCUACGGGAGGCAGCAGUGGGGAAUAUUGGGCAAUGGGCGCAAGCCUGACCCAGCGACGCCGCGUGAGGGAAGACAGCCUUCGGGUUGUAAACCUCUGUUGCAGGGGAAGAAGGAAGUGACGGUACCCUGCGAGGAAGCUCCGGCUAACUACGUGCCAGCAGCCGCGGUAAUACGUAGGGAGCGAGCGUUGUCCGGAAUUACUGGGCGUAAAGGGCGCGUAGGCGGCGCUUCAAGUCGUCUGUCAAAAGCCGAGGCUCAACCUCGGCGCGCAGACGAAACUGGAGAGCUUGAGAAGCAGAGAGGCAAACAGAAUUCCUGGUGUAGCGGUGAAAUGCGUAGAUAUCAGGAAGAAUACCAGUGGCGAAGGCGGUUUGCUGGCUGCAUACUGACGCUGAAGCGCGAAAGCCAGGGGAGCAAACGGGAUUAGAUACCCCGGUAGUCCUGGCAGUAAACGAUGUAUGCUGGGUGUGGGACUAGCGAUAGUUCCGUGCCGAAGUUAACGCGAUAAGCAUACCGCCUGGGGAGUACGGUCGCAAGAUUGAAACUCAAAGGAAUUGACGGGGGCCCGCACAAGCGGUGGAGCACGUGGUUUAAUUCGAUGCAAACCGAAGAACCUUACCUGGACUUGACAUCCACGCGGUAGAGAAGCGAAAGCGGAUCGACCCUUUCGCAAGGAAGGGAACGUGAACAGGUGCUGCAUGGCUGUCGUCAGCUCGUGUCGUGAGAUGUUGGGUUAAGUCCCGCAACGAGCGCAACCCCUAUUGCCGGUUGCUACCAGAUAAAGCUGAGCACUCCGGCGAGACUGCCAUCGACAAGAUGGAGGAAGGUGGGGACGACGUCAAGUCAUCAUGGCCCAUAUGUCCAGGGCGACACACAUGCUACAAUGGAUGGUACAGAGAGAAGCGAGCCCGAAAGGAGAAGCAGAUCCCAAAAAGCCAUCCCCAGUUCGGAUUGCAGUCUGCAACUCGACUGCAUGAAGUUGGAAUCGCUAGUAAUCGCGGAUCAGCCAAGCCGCGGUGAAUACGUUCCCGGGCCUUGUACACACCGCCCGUCACACCAUCCGAGUCGGGUGCUCUCAAAGCCGGAGGCCUAACCGCGAGGAAGGAUCCGCCUAAAGAGUGUCCGGUGAGGAGGGUGAAGUCGUAACAAGGUAGCCGUACGGGAACGUGCGGCUG
rnacentral:rRNA from 1 species